rnacentral:rRNA from 1 species
UAACCUGCCCAAGAGAUCGGGAUAACACCUGGAAACAGAUGCUAAUACCGGAUAACAACAGAUGAUGCCUAUCAACUGUUUAAAAGAUGGUUCUGCUAUCACUCUUGGAUGGACCUGCGGUGCAUUAGCUAGUUGGUAGGGUAACGGCCUACCAAGGCGAUGAUGCAUAGCCGAGUUGAGAGACUGAUCGGCCACAUUGGGACUGAGACAAGGCCCAAACUCCUACGGGAGGCAGCAGGC